UGUCAUAAGUUAUGAGGAAGUGAGCCAAUAAUUGUCAAAUAUAUGACACAAGAAACAGCCAAGAAAAUACACUCAACUGAACAAAUAUUUUAGCCAUAAACAUGGAACCUAUUGUGAGAAACUUCACCAAGCCACAUAUUCAUUAACCAGUACCAAGAUGGACUUUCUAUUAAAUUCUCAUUACAAAUAUGUACAUAGAUUUCAC
rnacentral:misc_RNA from 1 species